rnacentral:lncRNA from 1 species
GGGUUCUCAUUUCCGGCGACAUUGUUCCAGCAGUUUCCGAGAAAGCUUGUUACCCGGUUGAAGCAGUUUCCGAAAAAGCUUGUUACCGGGGUGAAGAUGAAAUUAAGUCUUGUGUCGUUCUCGAAUAGAGUGGUAAUGUUAUGCAAAACCUCCAAAGUUUGGCAUAGUAUCAUUUUCCAUUGAAAAAUAACAAUGAUACCAAAAGGGGGAAACCACGUGAAAAAAGUAGUCAGAAUAAAAUGGCAAUCGG